rnacentral:rRNA from 1 species
GACGAACGCUGGCGGCGUGCUUAACACAUGCAAGUCGAACGAAGUGGCGAACGGGUGAGUAACGCGUAAUCAACCUGCCCUUCAGAGGGGGACAACAGUUGGAAACGACUGCUAAUACCGCAUACUGAAGGAGGGGAUUGCGUCGGGUUGGCUGGUUGGAGGGGGAACGGCCCACCAAGGCGAUGAUCAGUAGCCGGGCUGGCAGGCUGAACGGCAACAUUGGGACUGAGAGACGGCCCAGACUGCCACGGGAGGCAGCAGUGGGGAAUCUGCCGCAAUGGACGCAAGGCUGACGGAGCAACGCCGCGUGAGUGAUGACGGCCUUCGGGGUGUAAAGCUCUGUUAAUCGGGACGCGGUACCGGAAUAGAAAGCCACGGCUAACUACGUGCCAGCAGCCGCGGUAAUUC